GAUGAACGCUGGCGGCGUGCCUAAUACAUGCAAGUAGAACGCUGAAGGAGGAGCUUGCUCUUCUGGAUGAGUUGCGAACGGGUGAGUAACGCGUAGGUAACCUGCCUGGUAGCGGGGGAUAACUAUUGGAAACGAUAGCUAAUACCGCAUGACAACAGUUAUUGCAUGAUAACUGUUUAAAAGGGGCAACUGCUCCACUACCAGAUGGACCUGCGUUGUAUUAGCUAGUUGGUGAGGUAACGGCUCACCAAGGCGACGAUACAUAGCCGACCUGAGAGGGUGAUCGGCCACACUGGGACUGAGACACGGCCCAGACUCCUACGGGAGGCAGCAGUAGGGAAGCUUCGGCAAUGGACGGAAGUCUGACCGAGCAACGCCGCGUGAGUGAAGAAGGUUUUCGGAUCGUAAAGCUCUGUUGUAAGAGAAGAACGAGUGUGAGAGUGGAAAGUUCACACUGUGACGGUAUCUUACCAGAAAGGGACGGCUAACUACGUG
rnacentral:rRNA from 1 species